GGGUCGACAAAACGUCAAUGGA
rnacentral:siRNA from 1 species